GAAGAACACCGUCUCCACCACCGCCUGGUCCUCCACGAACACCAGCUUCACCUGCGGGCGGGGCCAGGGAGACAGAGGCAAUAUGACAGGGACAGAACUUUGGAAACUGGAAAGCAGGCAGACAUGCUUAUUCCACCCCACCCC